CAGCAGCCGCGGGAAUACAGAGGGUGCGAGCGUUAAUCGGAUUUACUGGGCGUAAAGCGUGCGUAGGCGGCUUCUUAAGUCGGAUGUGGAAUCCCUGAGCUUAACUUAGGAAUUGCAUUCGAUACUGGGAAGCUAGAGUAUGGGAGAGGAUGGUAGAAUUCCAGGUGUAGCGGUGAAAUGCGUAGAGAUCUGGAGGAAUACCGAUGGCGAAGGCAGCCAUCUGGCCUAAUACUGACGCUGAGGUACGAAAGCAUGGGGAGCAAACAGGAUUAGAUACCCGGGUAGUCCCUGUCUCUUAUAC
rnacentral:rRNA from 1 species